UGGGGAAUUUUGGACAAUGGGCGCAAGCCUGAUCCAGCCAUGCCGCGUGCGGGAAGAAGGCCUUCGGGUUGUAAACCGCUUUUGUCAGGGAAGAAAUCUUUUGGGUUAAUACCCCGGAAGGAUGACGGUACGUGAAGAAUAAGCACCGGCUACCUACGUGCACGCAGCCGCGGUAAUACGUAGGGUGCAAGCGUUAAUCGGAAUUACUGGGCGUAAAGCGUGCGCAGGCGGUUCUAUAAGACAGAUGUGAAAUCCCCGGGCUCAACCUGGGAACUGCAUUUGUGACUGUAGAGCUGGAGUGCGGCAGAGGGGGAUGGAAUUCCGCGUGUAGCAGUGAAAUGCGUAGAUAUGCGGAGGAACACCGAUGGCGAAGGCAAUCCCCUGGGCCUGCACUGACGCUCAUGCACGAAAGCGUGGGGAGCAAAC
rnacentral:rRNA from 1 species